CUUUUUCAGUCGAUUUUGUGCAGCUCGAUAGCAUUGUCUAGCCUCUGGAGUGUGGGUCAAGAGUUAUGUUCUUGUCUCUGCCUCUGGCGAUUAUGCUGUCCGUUGCCAAAAUUCGGUGGUCUUACUUUCGAAGAUGCGGCAUCUGCAGCUGCUUGUAUAUUUUUCAAUAAUAUACUCACAGCAUCGUCAAUGUCAAUGGCCACGUUUAUCUCAGUGUUCAAGUGGAUGACGUUCUCAAGCGUAGACUGGAAACAUCUGAUAUCAGCGCCUCUGGCCAGAAGCCUGGAAUUUUCUCUGUGACAGCGCAAAUUGUCGUUUAGGCUGUCAUAAAGUUCGAUUUUCAACUGCAAAUGGUCAGAGCUAAGCUCAGCGCUGGACGAUAUGUGUGUGAAAUUGCCAUCAAUGCCGCUGGUGAUGGCAAAGUCAAUGGCCGACGGGCGCUUUCUUCUGUCGUGCGGAUAGUGUGUGGCUUCCAUAGAUAGCCUCGUACAAUGUCCUACCCCUCUGACACGCACGUGGGUUUCCCCACCACGCAUGCUUCGCAUUCCAGUCGCCACACAGAAGGAAGCGGGCCGCUGUAUUGCCAGUUUUCAGCAAAAUGGGUGCGCAUUGUAUGGCUUCUUCGUUAAUUGGCUGCAGUGCCGAGUGGCUAAUACGAGAACGUAUCAUGGUGGCAGCACCUCCUUUGCGAUGUGUGCUCGGAUUGACGGCAAAGUAAGUGACAAAUCCCGGCA